UUUGUUUCCAGCUAUGAAAAUGGAAUAAUUAGGAAAUGCUGUAAAAAUUAUUACUUAAUAAACAAUAGUUGUCAAGUGUGCCCUUCCGGAUGCUCUGAGUGUAAUUGUUUUCAAGCUUGUGAGGGAUUGAUGCAACGAUCUGGAUGUGAUGCUGCCUGUUCUUGUCCAGCCUGUAAACAAACGUUCGACUGUAAGCAAAAUACAGGUUCCAACACGAACACAUUCAUUCAUUUCAACACCUCUCAGAUGUUAACAACGAAAUUGGAAGGAAUCAUUCAAACCACAAAACCAUCAAAAAAUACCAUAUCACAUUCCAAUUACAGUUAUGCUAUAAUUAUCGUCGGAACUCUCCUAACUGUUGUAUUUUUAAUAAUACUAGUCAGGGAAGUGCGGAAAUUUCG